GACGAACGCUGGCGGCGUGCUUAACACAUGCAAGUCGAACGGAAAGGCCCUGCUUUUGUGGGGUGCUCGAGUGGCGAACGGGUGAGUAACACGUGAGUAACCUGCCCUUGACUUUGGGAUAACUUCAGGAAACUGGGGCUAAUACCGGAUAGGAGCUCCUGCUGCAUGGUGGGGGUUGGAAAGUUUCGGCGGUUGGGGAUGGGCUCGCGGCUUAUCAGCUUGUUGGUGGGGUAGUGGCUUACCAAGGCUUUGACGGGUAGCCGGCCUGAGAGGGUGACCGGCCACAUUGGGACUGAGCUACGGCCCAGACUCCUACGGGAGGCAGCAGUGGGGAAUAUUGCACAAUGGGCGGAAGCCUGAUGCAGCAACGCCGCGUGCGGGAUGACGGCCUUCGGGUUGUAAACCGCUUUCGCCUGUGACGAAGCGUGAGUGACGGUAAUGGGUAAAGAAGCACCGGCUAACUACGUG
rnacentral:rRNA from 1 species